GGAUGAGAAGAAACGCGAUGGAGGAGAGAAAAAGGAGGUGCUCCGUCACCGCUGAAGCUCCACCACCACUGCUAGGGCUUGUUUAAGUCGCCGUUCUGCCACCGUCGGGCUUCUGUGCCCCCGCCGAGGAGCUCGAAGGGAGGAAGGAGGGAUGUAUCGCCGCCUUCGUGCUCUGUCGCGGCGCUGCCGUCGAUUGGAGCUCGCCGCUGAGCUGCUGCACUGUCUCCAAGCCGUUGCGCCGCCGCUCAUCUCUUCACUGUCACUGCUCAAUACCAUCGUCGUAUCCUCUGUCACCAGUUCAAAGGUGUGUAUGAUUUUGAUAGUGAUGAUGAACUGCAAUGACUAAUUGAGAUACAGAAGGUGCUGGAAAUUUCAUACGUGCGUGCUAAACUAGGAAAAUCAUUCUGUAGGAAAGUGUCGAGCUGCAGGAGAUUUCAUUGGGUUCAUGCCCUCCUAGUGUGGGUCUUCAAGGGAUGCGUUGGUC